GAUGAACGCUGGCGGCGUGCCUAAUACAUGCAAGUCGAGCGAAGCGGGGACGGGUGAGUAACACGUGGAUAACCUCCUAUAAGACUGGGAUAACUUCGGGAAACCGGAGCUAAACCGGAUACUUAUAGAUGGAUCCGCGCUGCAUUAGCUAGUUGGUAAGGUAACGGCUUACCAAGGCAACGAUGCAUAGCCGACCUGAGAGGGGGAUCGGGCAAACUGGGACUGAGGAAAGGUUCAGACUCCUGAGGGAAGGAACAGGUGGGAAACUUUCGGAAAUGGCGGAAGCCUGACAGGACAACGCCGCGGGGAGUGAGAAAGUCUUCGGGUCGGAAAACCUUGUUUUUUGGGAAAAGGGUACCUAUCAGAAAGCCACGGCUAACUACGUGCCAGCAGCCGCGGUAAUAC
rnacentral:rRNA from 1 species